ACCUUCGUAGUGCAGUGGUCAGCACGCUCGGUGCAUAACCGAGAGGUCUGUGGUUCGAUUCUCGGCGAAGGCG
rnacentral:tRNA from 1 species